GUAUUUAUAGUUUAAUUAAAACAUUAGAUUGUGGUUCUAAAGACAAAAGUUAAAACCUUUUUACUUACC
rnacentral:tRNA from 1 species